rnacentral:pre_miRNA from 1 species
GUUGAGGGGAAUGUUGUCUGGUCGGAGACCUAACACCAAGGAUCUCAUCCAUGGAGCAUCGCAGCAUGGUGGAUGGUUUCGGACCAGGCUUCAUUCCCCCCAAC